rnacentral:lncRNA from 1 species
UAUAUAUUUUUUUAAAGGAUAUCACACGAUUAAAGGAGAUAUAAAAAAUGGAAUAAGCGAAUUGGCAUAAACAUAUACAUAUAUACAUAUGUUUAUAUAUAUAUAUAUAUGUACAUAUGUAUAUAUUUAUAUGUACAUACCCACAUAUACAUAUACAUAUAUAUAUACAUGACCACAUACCAUAAUGGACGAAAGUAGUGAACUGUCCGACAUUUACAAUAAAAAUGGACAUUCAGAGAAGGAAAUAAAAGAAGAACUAAUCAGUGUAAGUCAACGAUUUUUAGAAGAUGAGGAUGAAGAAGGUGAUUAUUUUAAAGAUAUAAAAAAAUAUUUAUAUAAUGAAUCAUCUUUUGUAAAACGGAUUAAUACAUAUAAUAAUGUUUGGUUAAAAAAGCCUGCUCACUUAAGUUCUUUAAUAUUAGCAAGAAAUGGUUUUAUAUGUAUAAACGAAUCUGUUAUUAAAUGUGAAAUCUGCGGUUUUGAAUAUUCAUAUGGAAAGGGAACUUAUUCUAUGUAUACUCGAAUUACUGAUUUAUGUCUAUUACAUAGAAAUAAUUGCCCAUGGAAACAAACACUUAUUGAUUUAUCUUUUUUUAAAUUAGAUGAAAUUUCAUUAACGAGAGAAAACUUAUUAACAGAAUAUGAAAAUAAUAUUUUUUUAUUAAAAAAAGAAUUAACUAUAAUACCAUUAAUAAAUAUAAAAAAAACAAUUAGUCAUAUUAUUUUAAUUUUAAAAAAAUGUUUAAAAAAUGAUAGUACAAAAAAAAAAUUUGACAUUUUUCAAUCACAAUUAGAAUAUUUUAAAUAUCACUUUGUUAAUAUAUUUAUUGAAAAUCAAAAUGUUAUAAAUAAAGGAAUUGAAUAUAUUAAAAAAGAUUAUAAUUAUUUAUUAAAUUGUAUUGUGGAUGUGAAAUAUAUAGAAGACUUAAUGUUUGAUAUAUUAGAUGAACAAAAUUUUAUUAAUAUUUUAUCUGAUAAUAUUUAUUCUAAUUUAUGUUUUAAUACUGAUCAAGAUGAUGUAAACGUUUAUUUAAAAAUUGUUAAUAAUAUGAGGAAUUAUACAUAUCAACAUGUUAAUAUAUAUAAAACAUUAGCUUUAUUAGGAUGGGUAUACAAAACAGAACAUUCUUUUACUGAUAAAGAAAACGGUUGUAAUGGUGUACUUAUAUGUAAAUAUUGCUAUAGGGAAGUAAAUUUAUUUGAUUAUUCUUAUUUUUCCCUAAUUGAUAACAAAUGGCAUAUUUUUGUUCAAAAAAAACAGACAUCACAAAAAAAAAAAAAAACUAUUAUAAAAGAAGUUUCUAGUAAAAUGGGUGUACAGAUAAAUGGUGUAAAUGAUACAAGUGGUACAUCUUAUGAGAGUUCGAAUGAUCUUGGUCGUAACGAUCAGACAAAAGAGGAGGAAGGUCAAACGUAUGGUAAAAAGGUAGGUGAUUUUGAACGCUUGUUGGAGCUGGUUAGUGAUAGGGUUUCUAAAGCAAACAAUGAGUUAAAAGAAGUGGAUAAGGACAAAAAUAUAGAGGACGUACAAGAUGACACAGAUGAGAGAACAAAAGAGAAUGAAAAAAAAAAAUAUAGUUUUACUAUGAAAUUAAGAAAUAUAUUUUCAUCAAAAGGAAACAAUAAUAAAAUAAAAGAGGAUACUGUUUGUGACGAUAGUAAGCAUAUAAAUGGGACUGUCACUGAUGAGAAUGAUAAACAUAAUAUAGUAGAUGGUGUCAAAAAAGAUGGAGAUGUUAACACAUGUAUAAGUAGUGACAAUAGAGAUACAGGUGGUGGAAAUAACACAAGCGAAAAAAAUGAUACAAAUCGUGAUAGUAGUACAAGUUAUGAUAGUACAGGCGAUAAAAUUGACGCAGAUCGUACUAAUACAAGUUGUGAAAACACGAACAAUAGUAGCACUAGUGAUGCUACUGACAACAUGUUAAACAAUUUGUUGCUUAAAUCAUUUUUAAAAAUAUGUAAUUAUUUGGAUGAUGAAAAUUGUUUUACUGAAACUUCAAAUGGUUAUUAUAUGUUCAAAAAUUAUGACUUAGA